UGCCUAUUGCUUAUUUUAUGUAUUUCUAAUUAUCAUGCCUUUUAUGUUUAUGCUUAUUUUCUUUGGCAGAGACACGUUAGUGUGUUAUUGGAGGGUGAGUGUCCCAAAAUGUAGCAAAUGCAGCAGCAGUCAACUUCAUCACUGCCCCUAAUGCACAUAUAAGGCUGAACCAUAUCUGAACAAUAUGGUCAACAACCACAAAGGUCAUGCUUCAGUGAGGCACAGAGAGUUCACAAUCAUAAAGUGUGGCUUCAGUUGUAGAAAUGUGACACACUUUCAUUGUUGCUACUGUAAGGCAACAAUAAUCAACAGAUCACAGUUUCUGAAGCACCUGACAUAGCAUCAACGUCCAGUGGCCCCACAAGAUCUUGUCCCCUGGACCUUGGAGGACUUUUGGUGUGGAUGAUGAUCAUGUUAGAUAUUUCUUUAAAAUUAUUUCACUGAACUGCACCAAUUGAUUGUGCUUGCAGCAUGCAAAGCACACUUGUUAUUGCUCAUAUGAUUUCUUGUUUAUUAUUCUUGACACUUUUUUGGACCUAUUUUUUACACUACAUACACAAUUCAUACAUCAAACUCCUGCAGAGCUGGAUGCUGAUGUAACAUGCUCUGACUUCUUGGGGGGGGGGGAUUAUUAUGAACUUAUUGUUAUUAUCAUAACUAUCAAACUUAACAACCUACUCUUAACUUGCAGUACACUAGUAGAUAAGAUUUUUUGGGAUGCCCAUAUGAUUUUCGUUUUCAAAGGAAAACAUGCAGCAAAUUUGGCGAUGGUGGUGCCUAGUUCUCCUGCAGAACUUUCCAAUGCCGUCUGAAGAAGAGCGGUUGAAAGAUCAAAAAAGGUGGCGAAAACAGAACGCACUACAGACAAUAAUGAAAACAAAAUACACUGGGAGCUGUGAACUGGUGUAAUUGGGAUGGACGGGGAAGACCACUUAAAGAACUACAGUUGUAUGAUGGCUUGGAUGAAGAGGAAAAUAUUCUCCUUAAGGAACCAUUCAUGUUCCAGUUACAGAGAGAUUAUGAGAUGUUCUAUGUGGAGGCAGUUGACAACAAGAAA